rnacentral:rRNA from 1 species
GAUGAACGCUGGCGGCGUGCCUAAUACAUGCAAGUCGAGCGAACAGAUAAGGAGCUUGCUCCUUUGACGUUAGCGGCGGACGGGUGAGUAACACGUGGAUAACCUACCUAUAAGACUGGGAUAACUUCGGGAAAUCGGAGCUAAUACCGGAUAACAUAUUGAACCGCAUGGUUCAAUAGUGAAAGGCGGCUUUGCUGUCACUUAUAGAUGGAUCCGCGCCGUAUUAGCUAGUUGGUAAGGUAACGGCUUACCAAGGCAACGAUACGUAGCCGACCUGAGAGGGUGAUCGGCCACACUGGAACGGAGACACGGUCCAGACUCCUACGGGAGGCAGCAGUAGGGAAUCUUCCGCAAUGGGCGAAAGCCUGACGGAGCAACGCCGCGUGAGUGAUGAAGGUCUUCGGAUCGUAAAACUCUGUUAUCAGGGAAGAACAAAUGUGUAAGUAACUGUGCACAUCUUGACGGUACCUGAUCAGAAAGCCACGGCUAACUACGUG